rnacentral:rRNA from 1 species
AGAGUUUGAUCCUGGCUCAGAAUCAACGCUGGCGGCGUGCCUAACACAUGCAAGUCGAGCGAGAAAGGGUAGCAAUACCUGAGUAAAGCGGCGCACGGGUGAGUAACACGUGGGUAAUCUGCCCUCGAGUGGGGAAUAACACCGGGAAACCGGUGCUAAUACCGCAUACGAUCACGGUGUCUUCGGAUGUUGUGAUGAAAGGAGCAAUUCGCUCUUGGAGGAGCCCGCGGCUGAUUAGCUAGUUGGUGAGGUAAUGGCUCACCAAGGCAACGAUCAGUAGCCGGUCUGAGAGGACGGUCGGCCACACUGGAACUGAGACACGGUCCAGACUCCUACGGGAGGCAGCAGUGGGGAAUUUUUCGCAAUGGGGGCAACCCUGACGAAGCAACGCCGCGUGGGUGAUGAAGUAUCUCGGUACGUAAAACCCUUUCGACGGGGAAGAAACCGCAAGGUUGACGGUACCCGUAGAAGAAGCCCCGGCUAACUCCGUGCCAGCAGCCGCGGUAAUACGGGGGGGGCAAGCGUUGUUCGGAAUUACUGGGCGUAAAGGGCGCGUAGGCGGUUCGCUAAGUUGAAUGUGAAAACUCUGGGCUUAACCCAGAGCCUGCAUUCAAUACUGGCGGGCUAGAGUUCUGGAGGGGAUAGCGGAAUUCCUGGUGUAGCGGUGAAAUGCGUAGAUAUCAGGAGGAACACCGGUGGCGAAGGCGGCUAUCUGGACAGAGUCUGACGCUGAGGCGCGAAAGCUAGGGGAGCAAACAGGAUUAGAUACCCUGGUAGUCCUAGCCCUAAACGAUGGAUACUUGCUGUGACUGGGAUUGAAUCCAGUCGUGGCGAAGCUAACGCAUUAAGUAUCCCGCCUGGGGAGUACGUCGCAAGCUGAAACUCAAAGGAAUUGACGGGGCCCGCACAGCGGUGGAGUAUGUGGUUUAAUUCGACGCAACGCGAAGAACCUUACCUGGGCUCGAACG